CAAUUAUGCAACAACACAUAUUGUUCCAGCCAUCAAGUCUUUUCUUCCCUCACCAAAACGUGUAGAAGAAGUUGAGAAAGGGAGAGAGAGUUUCCUCCAACUCCAAAUUGUAACUUGAAGAGGUUGAGCAGCUGCCGAUGGUGAUGAAGUGACGAGCGGGAUUCUUUUGUCUUAUUAUGUAUUAAUGAACUCUAGGGUUACAUGUCUUCAUACAUGUAAUCAGAACCUUAUUCCGCUGCGUACUCAGAAGUUUUAUGUUAUUUUGGAUAAGUCGGAGUUAUCCGAACUUGUUAGUUAUUUGAGUCUAUACGACAAAAACUCUGUUAUAUUAUAGAUAUCCAUGUUGUUAACAAUGAUGAAAUACGAUCCUUUCUUGUUUGAUUA